GCAAGCGGCUGCUGCGUGCAUAAUUUGGCAGAAUGUUAGCAAAGAGCGCUGCAUUUAUAACCUCUAAAAGACAUCUCAGUUCAUUGCAAUCUCACAAAACUCUCUUAUAACACAAUCAACAUAUGCAUAAUUAGGUCUCUAAUCCAAUGGCACUUGACUUGACAGUGUGUGUGCUACUGUACAUCCUUUUUACAAUCCCUAGAUUGUAAAACACUGCAUUCUGUCAGCAAUGUCUACAAUGUUACUAAAAAGUAAUCAAAUUACAAUAACGUGCUACUAAGUAAUGUGUUACUCCCAAACACUGCUCAUGUUAAAAUGCAAUAAAUAUGCAACAAUAUGCUGAAAGC